GGAUGAAGAACGUAGCGAAAUGCGAUAAGUAGUGUGAAUUGCAGAAUUCAGUGAAUCAUCGAAUCUUUGAACGCACAUUGCGCCCUUUGGUAUUCCUUAGGGCAUGCCUGUUCGAGCGUCAUUUAGCAACUCAAGCUCGGCUUGGUGAUGGGCGCCUGUCCACCCUGGUGGACUCGCCUCAAAGUCAUUGGCGGCCGUUACGUUGGCUUCGAGCGCAGCAGAAACGCGAUACUCGAGGUCCGGCGGGACGCGUCCCCCAGGAAGCCCCUUUCUCAGUUUGACCUCGGAUCAGGUAGGGAUACCCGCUGAACUUAAGCAUAUCAAUAAGCGGAGGA
rnacentral:misc_RNA from 1 species